AACACGGAUUUAAACGUGGUGGCACUCUACUACAUGUUUAGCCCAGAAACAAUCAAAACACCGUAUAACAAAUAUUACAAAAUACUUUCAAGCAACAGCCAUAGAAUCUGAAACAAAUAAUAAUAAUCAAGCAGCACAAUUCACAUCGAAACACAAACUGCGUCAUAGUCGAAAUAAAGUGUAUAUAAAGUGUUCACCAAUUAACGAGAAAUUAAUCAAGAUGUUUUUGUUUACAUUUCAAUUGUUUUGAAGGAGUGUACUACAAUUACACAUGAUAUAACGAAAGUGCAAUGCGACGGGGAAUUUUGCAUAUGAUUCAGUACUAUCAUCAACAUAUCUUGAAGCAAAGAAGAUUUUACUUAACAUGUAGCAGGUGAAACCGAAAAAGUACGGAGCUUUAUCAAUUAUUAUUGAGCAUGAUUUUAAGCUUUGAAUUACUCAUACUAAUAUCAUCCACAGCAUGGACAUCAACUGUGUCCGAAUCACAGACACUCCCGAACAAACAUAGAAUUCAAGGAUGCUGUGGAAAGAAUAUAGAUGACAAUUCUUAAAUGAUUUAAGAUAAAUAACACACACUUUCAUGUUAAAUAAUAUGUAAUAAAAUAAUGUUCAAUAUUACUCCUGCUGAUUCCAUACUACUGGUUAGCAUAACAAGAUCCUGCUGAGCAUCUCAUAUUUUUUUUUAUCAACCGUUCGCACUUUUACUCUUAGGCGGUGUGCCCAUCAAUAUUUAGAAACUUCGACCAAAAACUCAAACCAUUAUGUCAUCUUGUCGGUUGGCGCUUGUAUUUUAUUUUAACCAUACGUGUUAAAUAAUACCAUUCAUGCAAUGAAUUUUUAUUCGAUAAGAAACUUGACGGUUGAAGCAAUCACGAGGGCUAGUACUUCAUUUAAUGUGAAUUAAAUACGUGGGAGUUUUUUGCCUCUUUCUGUAUUAUGCAACAUUAUCUGA